UUCAGCUUCAACACAAACCAUGCUCCCUGCAUCUCUACUGCUGCUGCUGCUAGCAGCUGCAUCCUGUGUGCAGAGUAAUGUUGAACACACUCAGCCAGCUUUCAUGUUCGGAAAGCCAGGACAGUCUCUGACUAUCACCUGUAAAGUCUCUGGGUAUUCCCUGAGCAGUUAUACCACAUUCUGGAUCCGGCAGCCUGCAGGGAAAGCCCUCGAAUGGAUCGGAUAUAUUAACAGUGGUGGCACCCGUUACAAAGAUUCUUUAAAGAACAAGUUCACCAUCUCCAGAGACACCUCCAGCAGCACAGUGUCUUUACAAGCACGCAGCCUGCAGACUGAAGACACAGCUGUGUAUUACUGUGCCCAAGAGACACAAUGA